CCUCUCACAGUGUGCUACUCGUAAUCGGGGCGUAUGAGUGCUCCGGUGCUCGGCCGACUUACCCCACGUGCGCGCCCGUCGUCUUGUGCUUCAGUCGAUUUCAAGCCCGUCGACGAGUGUUUUGCAAAAACGUUGUGAAUUUCGUGAGUUUGGUCGUUAGAAAAAUUGCCCUAUUAUUGUGACGACGAUACAUGUUACACGUAACGCAGUCACGAUGGACACCACCUAACGACAUUAUUUCUAUGAAAUAUUUCCAUCAAAUAGUAACGAGAAAUUUUUUUUUUUCCACUUUUAUUAUUAUUGUAUUUUUUUUUUACGGUUUUUGUUUUAUGUCAGUUUUUUCUUCCGGCCGUACAAUAUUACAUUACCGCUCGUUGACAUACCAAGUAUUAUGACGGAUUUGUAUAAUCCGCGGUACCGUUGGUGACAUGUCGGAUGGUGUUUGCGUGUGUUGGACAGUGUUGGUGGCGCUGGCCGUGUGGUGUUUGGCUGUAGGCGCGACGGAGUUGACUACCCGGAUGGCACCCUGCGCCCAUCUGGGCGACGAGACCAACGACGUUUCGGCUCGAACGUACGCGUCUGAUGUGGUAUUCGAGGGCAAGGUGCGAUCGAGGAGUCCCAUACGGCCCGGAGCCGGCACGUACGGCGUCACGUUUGUAGUGCAACGGGUGCACAAGGACGCUAUGCAAGCGGUCACCUACGAGGGUCUUCGAGUUGGGAGUCCAGUGCGGCUCUACUUUCGGGAAAAACGAGACUACGGCAGCAGUGAUCCACGGAGACGGCGUCCCACCGGCACUACGGCCGGCAUUGCCGGGUCGUCGCAAUGCGUCCAGCGAUUCGCGCCCGCCGCCGGCGGACAAACUGUCGAGGCCAACAUCAAACGGGGUGCAAAGUACCUGGUGUUCGUGGCCGGCGUAGGACCGCACAAUUUGUCCGUACUCGGCGAACCCGUGCUCCGCACGCCUAAGAAUAUUCAGGCCGUCCGGCAGGUGUUGUGCAGAAAUUGCAUCAAGCCUAUCAGCGUGUGGGGACUUCGCAACGUCACUUUAAAAGCGAAAAGUCCUUUGAAGUUGAUAUGCAGGGCGAGUGGCAACCCUAUGCCAGCACUGCAAUGGUUCAAAGACGGCGUACCUGUUUUGGUGGGCAGGAAGAGGAUUCAAUAUAAAAAGAAAAGAUCCAUGCUUGUGAUACCGAGGGUAAGGCCAGAAGACAGUGGAAAGUACGAGUGCAGAGGCACUGGCGUCCAAACCGGUCACGUGGCUAUUUCAUGGGGCCAAGUCAUAGUUAAUUCCAAACCGGACAACACGACAGCUCUUUGGCCGUUAGUUGGUGGUCCCUGUCCGGCAGAUCUCGUCUAUUGUUUGAACGGAGGCACGUGUACGUUCUACGAAACCAUUGGAGAGCUGGUGUGCCAGUGCGCCGAAGGCUUCAAGGGCCAACGUUGUGAGAACAAAGACAUUGUUAACAAAAGCAAUACUAAACCAAACAAGAAACAGAACACCACUGAAAGCAAAGCAAACCAUUUCGGCUGGCGGCGCAUUGAUCCUGCCGUGUUACCAAUAUGAAUAAAAAAUUAUGUGCUCAAUUUUUUAUGCACGAUAAACGCUGGUCGAGAAUUCCGAGAAACCCUGAUUUCGUUAUUAAUACAAAUGCGACAAUAUCAAAUUAAAAAAAUUUCGCCCUACACAAAAAGUUAAGAAGCAAAAAAAAGCGAACAAAGAUUUAUUGUCUUUUGUGUACACGUAAUAUGUAACUGAACAUUGGACAGCGGCAUUAACCCGAGCACAUUCUACAACAACUACGGAUUGAUAAAUUCAAUAUAAAAUUCUUAAUAUAUAUAUAUACUACAAUGCAUUAAAUAAAUUAUACAAUAUAGAAAAAUGUAAUCCACAAGAAGAAAAAGAAGCUUUAAAGAAUAAUAGAUAUAGUUAAAUAACAAUUUAUAAAUUGUUAUUUAAAUAUAAUUCGACCGUCCUUGAUUUUAAUGAUAAUUGUUUCUUGUAUAAAUAAAUGACUACGCAAACGCUAAAUACUAACCACUUAAUAUAGUAUUCAUAGUUAUAGCUAAUUUCUUAAAAAUUAGAAGACUAAAUUUACAUAAAAAUUUUUCUUAAGGGCUGUCUAAAUACCUGUUAACUUAAUUAUAGACAAUAGUUAUUUAAUUUAUGAUUUAUUAUUAUUUUGUUUUAUUUAGGUGUAUUACGCGUGAGUGAUUAAUAUUUUACUAUAAGGCUAAAGGUUGUGAUGUUUGUUAUGUUCCAUUUUUUUAGUGAUAUACCAUACAAUUUUUUACUUUGUACGAACGACGCGUAUUAUAAUUUUUAUGUUUAAAUAAAACAUAAUGGCCGUCCAUUUAUUAAUAAUUAUUUACUUAAAAUAAUAGCUGUUUGUAAUAUCACAUGACACAAAAAUUAUUCGAAUCAUAUAAAAACAAUCAUUAAAUAGAUAACGCUUGUAUGAACACUAAUGAAAAUAUUGUGUAUUUAAAUACCGGUAGAAAAUAAUUUAUUAGUAUAAAUAUUAAUCAUAUAUUAUAAUAAUUAUUGGUUCCUUAUAGCUAUAAUAUAUAAUAAAUAUAAUUGAUUUUAGCUGUCAAUAAAAUCUAAUAAUUAAUUAUAUUGAUCAAUGUUCAUUAGAAAAUUUUGUAAACGACUUGUUUUA